AAUCAACGCUGGCGGCGUGCCUCAGACAUGCAAGUCGAACGAUUAAAGCUCUCUUCGGAGAGUGUAUAGAGUGGCGCACGGGUGAGUAACACGUAAGUAAUCUACCCUCGAGUGGGGAAUAACAACCGGAAACGGUUGCUAAUACCGCAUAAUGCAGCGGCACCGCAAGGUGACAGUUGUUAAAGAUUUAUCGCUUGAGGAGGAGCUUGCGGCAGAUUAGCUAGUUGGUAGGGUAACGGCUUACCAAGGCUACGAUCUGUAACCGGUCUAAGAGGACGGUCGGUCACACUGACACUGAAUAACGGGUCAGACUCCUACGGGAGGCAGCAGUCGGGAAUUUGGGCAAUGGGCGAAAGCCUGACCCAGCAACGCCGCGUGAAGGAUGAAGUAUUCGGUAUGUAAACUUCGAAAGAAUAGGAAGAAUUAAUGAC
rnacentral:rRNA from 1 species